rnacentral:rRNA from 1 species
AUUGAACGCUGGCGGCAGGCCUAACACAUGCAAGUCGAGCGGAGCGGCGGACGGGUAAGUAAUGCCUAGGAAUCUGCCUGUUAGUGGGGGAGCCCGUCAGGAAACGGGCGCUAAUACCGCAUAAUAUAAGAUGAGCCUAUGUCGGAUUAGCUAGUUGGUGGGGUAAAGGCCUACCAAGGCGACGAUCCGUAAAUUGUCUGCGAGGAUGAUCAGUCACACUGGCACUGAGACACGGUCCAGACUCGUACGUGAGGCAGCAGUGGGGAAUUUUGGACAAUGGGCGAAAGCCUGUUCCAGCCAUGCCGCGUUUGUGAAGAAGGUCUUCGGAUUGUAAAGCACUUUAAGUUGGGAGGCGUUACCAACAGAAUAAGCACCGGCUAACUUCGUGCCAGCAGCCGCGGUAAUAC